rnacentral:rRNA from 1 species
AUUGAACGCUGGCGGCAGGCCUAACACAUGCAAGUCGAACGAGUGGCGGACGGGUGAGUAAUGUCUGGGAAACUGCCUGAUGGAGGGGGAUAACUACUGGAAACGGUAGCUAAUACCGCAUACCAUCAGAUGUGCCCAGAUGGGAUUAGCUUGUUGGUGGGGUAACGGCUAACCAAGGCGACGAUCCCUAGCUGGUCUGAGAGGAUGACCAGCCAGACUGGAACUGAGACAUGGUCCAGACUCCUACGGGAGGCAGGAGUGGGGAAUAUUGAACAAUGGGCGCAAGCCUGAUGCAGCCAAGGCGCGUGUGUGAAUAAGGCCUGCGGGUUGUAAAGUACGUGCAGCGGGGAGGCGGUACCCGCAGAGGAAGCACCGGCUAACUCCGUGCCAGCAGCCGCGGUAAUUC